CCCACGGCAUCCCCAGCCCCACACGGCAUCCCCAGCCCCACGGCCCUGAAUGGAAAACCUGUUCAGGAAAAUCUGUGGAUGCUCCCAUGUGGGUCCGCAUCCAAAGCACACGUCCAGGCCCUCUCUUUUCCAACUCAGGGAUGGGAAGGGAGCCACUGGUUUCUAAACUAAAAUGAAACUAUAAUUCACUUUGCAAAAGUACAUGAGCCCGUUUUUAAAAAUCACAAAGAAACAGAUCUCAGGUGGGUUCUGGGUUUGCUCUGCUGGCAGAUUCAAAGCAGCACUGCUCACCACACCAGCCUUCUGCAGGGCAUUCAUCAAAACCAUGGGAGUAUUUUUAAAACCCCACCAAAGUAAACCAUACAGCUAAUUUAUAAGCAUUCAGAUGUGCAGUAACUCUAGCACAAAUAUCCCUAUCAGUAUGGUGGUGGCCCCAUAUAAUACAAUGAGACACAAUUCAGACCUGUGACUGUCUAUUGAAUGCAUAAUAUGCGUUUUUAAAAUUGCCUGGAAACAUAUUCAUAUUGUAAAAUCUAAUGGUUCAGGUGGAGCUUUUACUCUUGAUCAAAUAAUAAAAUUGUUAGAGACCACUCUGUCAUCCCAUUGCUCACCAGCCUCCGUGAGGACUGUUUUACAUUCCCGUUUAAAUAGGACAGGAGAGCAAAAAAGGAAAACAUAAACCACAGAAGAGUUACUACAGACAUUAACUUUUAAGCCAGAAAAGCAAAAGAGCUGAGAAAGAAGCUCCAUUCCGGGGGAAUUGUCUUUGUCACUCUGCAUCCACCGAGGUUUCCUGCAGCCAAAGCCUCUGGUCGGCGAAUGAGGAUAAGGCUGCACUCACUAAGUCCCAGCGGCUGUCUGGGGCAAGGUGUCCUUGUUUGGCCUCCAAAAUAGCUCCUUCCUGUGGAUUCAGGUCUGCCAGGGAAGGGGACUGAUGUGGACAGACAGACAGAGCCUGUGGACAGCCGAGACUCCCCGUGGGAUGGAGUGGGUGGCGAUGGCCUUGUCCGUGAAAAAGGAAUCUGAAGUGCAGACUGGCGAUAGUAAUGGUGAUUACCAUGAAAGCGUGGAGCUUUUCAUUACUGAAAACUUCAAAUAACUCUCCUGAACUAUAUUUGAGACAUUUUUUUUUCAUGUUAACUCCGGGUUUGAUUGCUGAAAAAGGUUGACUGCUAGAAAAGGAAAACCAGUGCAGUGCACAGCAGUGGGGAAUCGAAGCCCUUCUUUACCAGAACCCCUGCCAUAUACGUACUGUCACUCACCUUCCAGACACUCAGUACAACCAUUCAAUCUAUUGAAUCAAGAGACUGUUUGAUCUUAUCUGCAUCUGUGAGCUGACUGUCAACCUGCUUAGGCUGCAUAUUAAAUCAUCUAUAGUAGCUGUAUCAAGCUGGGAUGAUCUGUUAAUUCUAAAUUUAUUAACCCUUAGAGUGCAGCCAUCAUGUUUAAUCUAGUGUAGCCAGCAUUUAUUUUACAAGACCAAAUCCUUCUUUAGGACAUGGCUGUGCUGUAGGUUAAGGAAUUGGUAACGUGGCGGAGCUGGUAAGUGGGAACAGCCCCACUUUGAUCUCUGGAAGCCAGCUGCCAGCACCGCUGCUCCAAACACGAAUGUGUGUGCUCAUGUCGUGCUCCCGUGUCCGGGAUGGGGGAGCUGCACAUGUGUGUGGACCUAUUGGCAUUACCUGGGAGUUUUGCCUGAGAUGAGCCACAAAAUGAGCGGCCUCAAACAAUGUUUGAGCCCUGUGCCUGCAGGAGAACUUAAAAUCAAAAAUCAGAGUGACGGCAACACCGCAGCACCAGCUGAGGGUGGGUCCUGUGAGGAGCUGCCACCAAAGCUCUUCCACUUCUCGUAGCUGCUGUCCCAAGCAAUGAACAAAUGUCCUGGGAGUGUGAGGAGCAUGGCCAGGGCAGGACAGGGGGGAAUGCGCGCGUUCCUGCCCGCGCACGGACAGACCCAGCCCAGCAGCGCGCACGGCAAUUUCAUAGGGACACAUCCAUCCGCAUCAAUAUGUUAAUCUGUUCGUUACACACACGCGUCUCUCCCUGCCCUGCUCUCCUGUUAUCUAUUAUCUUUGCACAUCCACGAUGGUAUCAACAUAUUCACAGCUUUUAUUUCAGUCGCAAACUGCUAGGCAUGCUUCCUUUUUUGGUAAUCAUGUGCCCGGUAUCUCUCUAAUGUAGCCUAAUAACAAUUUUAGCAUUCAGAUGAAGCGAUUUCAUUCUGUGACUGCCUUUUCUAUUAGAUUUGAUUCUGAGAAGCCCCAGUGGGUGCCUCGGAGGCAGAGAUCUAUCUGUGAGGCUGCAACCGAUUCAAUAGCAGCCUGAGCUAACCUUGACCUUUCCCUAGACCCUGCUCCAUCUGGUGCCAGCCUGGUCCCCCCCUUCUCCUCCUCCUUGCUUCACAGUCAGCAUUGAUCAAGGCGGAAUCGAGCGUCUCUCUCUCCCUCCAAGGGCUGGGCAGUCGUGGAAAGGACAGCACAUUUCAAUAUAUGGAAAUGAUCGAGCCUCUUAUGCAAUCAUAAAUCUACAUACAGCCUCGUGAUUUGAUAUUUCAUUCACCUCCAAAGAUUCUCACCCUCCCUCCCACCAGCAGGGAUUUAUAAACUAUAAGACAACAGCUUUCCCCAACACCUGGAUAUUACAAAGCUUGCUGUUUAUCGGGAGCGAACGCCUGGCAAUUUCAUCCGAUUCACUCGGUGGUUUAUUUAUUAUCACUCCGUUGUUUUCCCUGCGUGCCCGGGGUAUUUUAUUUCUUUCCGGGGGCUUUGCCCGCUCUCCCCCGGCCCCUUCGGGCGGCGGCAGCGGCUCGGACCGGGCUAGCGGAUGGGAAGGAAGGCUCGGCUCCAGCCCCGCAUCCCGCUGCUCUCCGGGAGCGCCUCAGGAGCCGGGAACGAGCACGGGCUCCCGCGAUAAACCAGCGCCCGCCACUUUGUCACCUUCCCACUCCUGCUCCAUUCUCUCGCCCCUUUCCCGGUGCCCCCGGAGCCGCCGGGGUGCCCUGCUCGCUCCCGAGUCCCUCCCAGCAGAGCCAGCGAGGCUCUCACACCGCCGGGAUGCUCCGAGCUGCUCCAUCCCUCCUCCCCCUGCUCCUCUUCCUCGCACUUACGAUCAAUAAUUUUAUUUUUCUUCCCAAGAAUUCUGACGUAACCCCAGUUUCUCACCGCAUACCAGCCCCGAGAUUACAUAACCGAUUAUGUAAAAUUAUAAUUGCGGGAUAAUGUAUGCAGACUCUAAUUAUUACCUAGAGUUUCCCGUGUAGCUGUAGCCAGGCGCACAGCACAUAUGUUAAGAGUCGGUUCUGCAAUAUUUGCAUAGCCAACACUUCUGGCUGGAGACGCGGUGUGGAAAAGGAAUGGAUGGAUAUUUGACAGUACAUAUGUAUGAGGGAGAUACAUUACUUAAUAGGAAAAGGUAUCUGGAAAUGUAUUCCUCUCUGUUUUGAGGAAUUUGUUUUGCUUUAUCUCCACGGGUAGUAAAAAAUAAUAGGAAGAAACUGUGAAUUACAUUGAAAAAAAAUAGAUAUAUUCAAUUUGUCAGUUUAAUAUUACACUUCCUCUCUGCAAUACUACAAAGAUUUAGAACAUUUCCAAAACUUUCAGCUCUAAUCUGUGCCUCGGGUUUCUUUGGAGGACCUGCCGCCACAUGCCAGCUAAAAAUGAGUGUCAAUUAAUAAUAAAACCCACUCUUCCUUAUUCCUGCAUGCAUAUAAUUUAACAGGCUUUGAGAAAACCACGAAUGUAAUGGUGAGAAUUUUCCAGUGUGUGCAAUAUUAACAGCUUUCAUUCUAAAGCACCAAAACUUCCUGGAACAGAACUGCUCAGUGUUUUCUCACCUUUCCCAAUGGCCAUCUCCACCUAUUAUUAUACACCUAAAAUGCAAAGACUAUUCAGCUCCUUAAAAAGUCUGGUUUGUUCCACCAAGAACAUAGUUGGUACUAACAAUCUCAGACCGAGGCAGUUCAGGUGAGCGGGCUAUUUUUAUUAUUUGUGGCCUGCAAAAUUAGAAAUAAUUUAAAACAAGAAGUAGGAGAGGUUUCAGUUUGUGUUUUCCACCACGUGAGACAUGACUGGAAAAUUUUUGCCCCUACAAUGCAACAGGAUUCCUAAAGUCUCUGAUUUCUGAGCUACCUGAGCACCCACAUAACCUCUGCAGAAGCGCCUGAGCACGGCUUGUUGUUGAAAAGCAUAUUGUACUUAUUAGUAAAAUGUGAAAUGGCUUAAAAAACAGUUUGAGCUAUGAAUUGCCAUCUGCUCAAUGGGGAGAAACAGAAAGUAACUGAAUAUAUUUUCUCACCUUUUUUUAUAGUAACAUAAACAACACUCCAGAACACUAUAAACUUGUAGCUGCACCGAAGGCGUUGGUGCAGUUCAUUGUGCUUCAGGUCAGGACUUUGUCCACACUGUUACACGCUGCUUCUUCUCACUCCCUGCACAUGUCCCAAGGUAUUUUUUUCCCCCUGUUAGUUAAGAAGGCAUUUUUAAAUGUAUUAAAUGUAUUUAAAUGUAUUUAAAUUUUAAAUGUAGGGAUUAAAAGUUUGGUGCCUCUGCCCUGAUACAGGGCCAGUCUGAGGUCUGAGCCACUCCAACCAAAGGGAGGCAGGCUGGAAGAUCUUGGCUUGGAGUGAGUUUCCCAAGGAGCAUGAGGACAAGAGAGCUGCAAAUUGUUAAGUUCUAUCCCAAAGGAGGAGCACAUGUAAGACAGUAACUCGGCAAUGCAGAAAUUGUCUUCACCUGCCUGCCUGAUGCUUUCUCCUCUCUGAAAGCCUGACUUGUUGAAAGCAUCACUUAAUAAUAAUAAUACAAGGAGCAGCUUUUCUGCUCCUUUGGAACUUGGCAGGAGCAGAAAUACGCAGUAAGGGAGAAGAGGAAUCCAAAACUUAACAACAGGGAAGGGAAGGGAAAUGUAAUGGUGUAAAGUGGCCUGCAGCCCUCACAGUUUAAUUUCCACCAAAUGCCCCAAGAAGAGCUGGGCACAGCAAAAGCCUCGAGAUUGACAUGCAAAGCAUGAGAGCUGGCUGCAAUAGCUGCACCACAGCACACGCCCAGGUGUGCUACACCUCACACACACAUCACCCCCAGGAUUAGGAUUCCAGUCACCUGUCCUCUGCUGCUAAUAAAAAUGAAAUAUAUUAGGGGAAUUUUGAAUACGGUGGCCUGACAGAGCAUGUCGUGUCUCACAUGUGGAAAAACGCGACAAGGCGCAAUCAAAGAGCAGCUCCCGUUUUUGUGGCACGGGAUUUUUCUGUUUCAGAGAGCAAAAUGUGUGCUUGGAGACCAGGGGAGCCCAAACCCUUAAACCCCUGCAGCCCCUGAGAGUGCAGUGUGAGGUCAGAUCAGCACUCACUGCUACAAGGAAGAAAAUAAUAUGUUUUUGUGAGACACCCAGAUUUGCUUUUUGCUCUCUUUUUGAGUGUGCAGAACAUCAGCAAAGCACAAGAAGCAGAGCUGUGCUUUGAGUCUCCUUCCCCUGCCACAGCAGAACACCUCCCUGGGGUGGGAGUUGUCAAUACUGUCAUGUUUCAGGUUUGCCAGGGUUUCCACUGCAAGUCUAAGCCAUCCUAGCCUGAGAUCCAGAUCCUGCAAAGGCUUUUGGAAAACAGACUCAGCCAGGUAGAUGAGCACAUCUCCAGAGAGCUGACAUGGCUGGCAGCUUUUUCAGCCCACCCUGGGCUCAGUGUUUCAGGAAAGCAAGAAGCCAGACAGAUUUUAGGGUAGAAAGUGAUAAGCAGUGCUCCAAACGAGAUGCAAACAAAGGACAGGGACUUCCAGGCACAACAGGUUAUUUUAUUCUGUGUGAAUGGCUUCCAUUAUUGACACAAGGAUGGACAUUACCAGUUCAAUCCCUGUUGGAAAUUGUGCCCCUUCCCUGACUGAGGGGAUAAAACCAAUUCAGAAAGGUAAAUCACAGCUCCAGGUGCUGGAGAUAGAAACAUUGUAAAGCCUGUUCAGCGUGGCUUCAAAAAUUGUCUCAGAAAGAAUGCUUUAAGAGGCUGUGAACAGCCAAAUCUCCGGCAUCCUCUGGGAAAGGCCUCAUGGAGUUACACCAAUGUGUCUCAAAUUUGCCCCCUCAACAGGUGACCCUGGUGCUGGUUUCUGUGGAGUGCUCUUGUGCUGCUGCUGGAGGAAGGCAGAGGAGGAAGGAGUGAGUGUGGCACUGCUUGUGCCAUGAUCUGCAGAUAGCGUGAGGACUUUGCUCCUCAGGACUGUCCAUCUGGCGCCAUUCCUGAGCAAUAAAAGCUCACCCACAAAGCAUUUCAAAGCAAACAGUUGCUGUAAUGAAUACCUCAGUACUCCUAAUACAAUACCACAAAGAGUUGCUACUAUAAAAAUACCCACUCAGUGAAGAGAGCCCAGGCUGACAGCCCAGCUCCCUCAGAGAGCAGGAGACAGCUCCCACAGGGGCUGAGUUUAUGUCACAGGAGGGUCACUUCCUCUGCCACCCACUCUCCAGUCAUUCCCCGUGGCUAAUCCAAGCACACCUGCACACCUUCCAGCAGAAAAGGUGUUCCUGCAACCCUUGGACCUAAUGAAAAGAUUCUCUCCCUGCCCUCUUCAAACUUAGAAAAGCAGGGCCACUGGAACAGCCUCAAGAGCCAAAUGCUAUCUCUGAUUCAUCAGCACACAUCGUGCACAAGAGCAAGAGGUGGUUUCGUAAGAUACCUGGAACAAAAAGUCUUUAUCAUUUUAGAUCAGAAUUUGUUUACCAGGGACAUUAUUUAACCUAAGGAAGACGGGCAGAAAUCUGAAAAUCUGCCUUUAAUUCACUCUGUUAUGAUCUGUAUUAUUGUUCUUGCAGUUCUCUUUUUAGGUGAUUUUACUGUAGGCAGGCUUGAGCAACACAGGAUGAGCUACUUUGUGGAGAGUUGAAUCCUAAGGUCUGGAUUCUUGAUUUUAAUUUUGGUGCUUCCCAACCAGAUGCACCCAUUUUUUUUUUUUCCUUUUGAAAUGCACUACUUGACAAAUGUAAAAUAAGCACUGAAACCAGAUGUACAUUGUAUUGUACCCAAGGAAUACUUACAGUACCUGAGAAAGAGCGCUGUGUGGAGGGUUUUUUUGUUUAGUUUGGUUGUUACCAUAGUACAUCAAUUAUUUUGUGCUAUUUUAUAUCAUUUUACCUUCAUGCUUUGGCAUACAAUAAAACCAGUAUCUGUUCAUAUUCUCAUA